rnacentral:lncRNA from 9 species
GUAAAUAUUUUAGAUAAGGCCAAACAAGUUGGAAGUCUUUGCAGAUAGCGUCUUUUAUUUUUUUCUUUCUUUUCUUUCUUUUUACUGAACCUCCAUGCUUAUUCUAGAAUGCUCUGUGUUCCCUGGUUGAGAAUGAACCUUUUUUGUCAAACCAUGUAAUUAUAUUGUUUCCUGUAUAUCUACAAUCAGCCUGCCAUUUUAGGCUUUGUGUCCAUAUCUUUUACUAUAAGCAACAAUGCCUAGCACAUCACUGCUUUGUUGGGUUUUCUCCCCAAUGUCCUGAAUUGAUUUCAGGUAAUAAAUUAGAUUGUCAAGCAGGUGCAGUAUUGUAGAGCAUAGUCUAACCUAUUCGAAGGAGACAUUAGUUCAAGCAAAGGACAGGAUGUUGUUCUGUGUCUGAGACACCAGAUCCCAGUCUUGACUUUAUCACAACCUGGCCGUGUGAUCCUGAUCAAGAAUUAUUGCUUUCUGAGUCUCCGUUUCCUUAUCUUUAAAACCAGAGAGUUGUCACAAGAUGAUCUUUUAAGGCUCCUUUCAGCCUUAAAAUCCUUUGCCAUGAAAAUAUAGGGAUCCUAUCAUGUGGAAUAAUUUAUCAUCAUUUUUCAGAGUUCUGGGGUAUAGGUCAUAGCCUGGAGCGACAGCAAUCUUCUGGAGGAGAAGUCACUGGAUGUAAAAUGCACUUGUCCAUUUUGCCUCUUGGAGCCCAAGAGACAGAACUCAUGCAUUCCCCUCCAGGUUACUCAGCAGAACAUGUGCUAAAUGCAUAAACUCAUAAAAUAAAAUGUACAAGCUUUGAACUGAGCACUUUCCACAAAUUACAAUUUAUCAGCCUACCUAAAUGGAAUGGUAAGUUUUCUUCACAGUUUUUUUUCCCCUUCUUCCUUUCAGCAAGUUGUAAAUUCAAGACUGCUUGUGCUGCCUAUGUGCGGCCUGGGAGGUGCUCCUCCAAUAACUCAGCUCCUGCUAUGCAUCUCCUAGGUGCAGCUUUUGCAGAAAUUACUUAAUAAAUCAGGUUGACAUACGUUUUUAUUCCUCUGGGUAGUGCACUAAGCAUCCUCUACAACCCUCGGUCUGUCUCACUUGAAGACAGUGAUCUUAGGGAAGGGAUCACGUUCAUUUAAAGUACGUACCCCUUUGAUGCUUUUCCAUAGGGUAAGGAAAACUAUGCAUGUUAUAUCUGGAGUUUUUCAAUAUGUGGCAGGGAAGUGUUACUUUCCUUAGAACUGCCAUAGUUCUCCAGAAGAUACUGCCAUAGUCUUACUCUUUCCAUUCCAGCCCCUAGAUAAGGAGCUGUCUCUGCCUUUCCAACAGGUGCUUUAGCAGAUGUCAAACUCAAGAGAGAGACUUCUCAUUAUAUUAUUAGAGAUUUAGUGCAUGCGAUGUUCCAAAUCUGCUAACUUGAACAAAGAAUGUAAUAUUAAGCUCUUUGCAGUUUCUUUCAAAAAUGGUUCCCCCCAGGGAGUUCCCGUCAUGGCACAGUGGUUGACGAACCCAACUGGGAACCAUGAGGCUUAGGGUUGGAUCCCUGGCCUUGCUCAGUGGGUUGGGGACCUGGCAUUGCCGUGAGCUGUGGUGUAGGUUGCAGAUGUGGCUCAGAUCCCGCGUUGCUGUGGCUCUGGUGUAGGCUGGUGACUGCAGCUCCGAUUCGACCCCUAGCCUGGGAACCUCCAUAUACCGUGAGUGCGGCCCUAGAAAAGACAAAAUAUAACAAUAAUAAUAAUAAUAAUAAUUCCCCACUUCUUCUGGAAAACAUUGGAUAAAACUAGGAUAUUUCAAAAUAAUAUUUUAUACUUGUAGAACAUGAUUUUCAAAUGUUUCAGUGAAAAACAGGUCAGUCUCUAUGUCAAUUUGAAGAAAGUAUUAACAUCAUUAUUUUAUAUAGUUCAAAAAGAGGUUAUAAAAGUUUUCUAGUAUUUUACUAGGUUUGAAGUAUAUAGGAAGACAACCAAGUCCUAUUGCUUGCAGUGCAUAUUGUUAUUCUUUUAUCAGAUGUAAUUUGUCCAUCCAUCAAUCCUUCAAGCCAGUGUCCAUUUAAUAACUACCAGUAGAAAAGCCUGUAAUAACUGAUCUGCACCCAGUUCCAGUGUGUGAGUUUUUUCCCACAAGCAAUUCUCCACUGACUGCCCUGCAAUUCAACUUAAUUGGACUCAAUCCUAUGAGACACCCACCCCACUUCCGGACACCAAUCACAAAUCCAGUUGUUAUCUAGCUUCUGACCAAUCUGCUAUAGACUGGGGAUUCUCACAGCCUCCUCAUUGAGUGUGGUUAAUUUGCUACAGCAACUCACAGAACUCAGGGAAACAUUUUACUUAUUAGAUCAUUAGUCUGUUAUAAAAUGAUGUAACUUGGAAAUUUCUAGAUGGAAAAUGGGGAAGAGAGCAAGGUAUGGGGGGAAGGGCACAGAGCUUCCAUGCCCUGUCUGAGCCUGCCACUUUCACAGCACCUUCAUGUGUUCCCCAGCAUGAAGCUCUUGGGAUUCUGCUCUUUUGGCUUUUAUACGGAGGUGUCAUUACAUAGGCAUUGUUGAUGGAAUCAUUGGCCAUUGGUGCUUGAACUUAGCCUCGCCCUUCUCCCUUCCCUUGAGGACAUGGAUGGGACUGAAAGUUUCAACUUUCUGAUCACAUGGUUGGUUUCACUGGCAACCAGCCCCUGUGAUUAGGUGCUUUCCAAAAUUCACUGUGUUAUGUUGCAAUGUUAUGUCAUUAACAUAACAGAAAAUACUUUUAUUUCUCUCUCCACAGAAAUUACAAGGGUUUUAGGAACUCUGUGUGAGGAACAGGAACAAAACCAAAAUAUAUAUUUCUUACUGUAAAUCACAAUAACCAAUAUCUAUUGAGUAUGUCCAGUGUUCAAGGCACGGUUAUGAGCACUCUAUGAGUACUAGCUGAUUGAUAGCACAAUUUUUUGAGGUACUGCUACUAAUAAUACUAAUUUUAGAGUUCCCAGGCUAGGGGGUCGAAUCAGAGCUGCAGAUGCUGGACUACACCACAGCCACAGCAACGCCAGCCAGAUCUGAGCUGUGUCUACAACCUUCACCACAGCUCAUGGCAAUGCCGGAUCUUUACCUUCUGAGCAAGGCCAGGGGUCAAACCUGCAUCCUCAUGGAUACUAGUCAGGUUCGUAACCCAUUGAUUCACAAUGGGAACUCCUAAACUCUUGAAUAUUAACUAAAUUUUUAUUUUAUAGUAUUUAUACAUAGAUAGAAUGAAUAUUAUUAAAGUCAGUUAAAAAUAAUCUGUUCUCUGAAGAAAAACUUUGACUUUCUCAGACCCACGUGAGUUUAUUAAUAACUCAUUUUGCUUCACUGUUAAUUGUAUUUUCCACCAGCUGACCUCAAUGAAUAAAAUGACUGCAUCUGCAUUUUGAUUUAUAACUAAAAAUUGUGCAAGGGCUGUAAACUCCUGAAUCUACCAAAUCUAGCCUAGUAAACAGCGAUCUUCAAUGACUUAUGUGCACACCUGUUGGAAUUAAUUGGGUUGUUACUGAAAGUUCAUGAAAUGCCAUUCAUUGCCUUUUAAAAUACUCAUAAUUUCAAGUUUACAAUUGAUGAGUCUUGUCUUCUCAUAGAGUGAUAUUUUCCAGAAUUAACUCUCUCUUCUCUGAACUCCUAUGACUCUGUCAGUAAGUGCUUCUAUUAAUCAACCAUUAAUUAUAUCUUGUAUUGCAUGUUUUCUGGCAUUACAUUUAGAAGCAUUAUGAGUUCCUAAUUAGUUUGUCAUCAUCUUGAGUGUCAUCAUUUCAGGAGGUAAAAGUGUCUUCUAUUUCUUAGCUAUUUCUAAUACAGUCAGUUUCUGCUAGCUUUAGACAUGCAGAAGUUUGCAAGAAUGAAUACCAAAGACCUGACUUGGCAGGGCUGGUCAAUUAUUUGCUGAUGUUCCUGGGGUGUAAUUCAAUCUAGUGGCAAGGCCCCCGAGCGGGAAAUCAGGUGGUUCCGAUUCUAUUUCCCAUUAUCUGUGACUUAUGAUGCAUCACUUAAGCUCUUAUUUUUCCCAAAAAUAACUUGAGAGAAGCAUCUCUGUCUAGACCAAUGGUUCUCAGCCUUGACUGCACGUUGAAAUCACACCAAAUGGACUUCCACCUCCAGAGAUUCUGAUUUUCUGGGUCUGGGCAUUCAGGUUUUAGACAGCUCCGCAGGUGAUUCUGAGCUAAGGCCAUCAUCCUGAGGAGAUUUCACUUGAACUGUAAGGUCCAUCAGUUGUGCCAUUAAUAUCACUAAUCUCGAAGGAAAGACUGGACACACAUGCAGCUUAGCAACACUUCUGAUAAGAGUCCUAGAUCCUAGCUCUUUCGAAAAGGUCGUCACAUUAUAAAGGUAAAAAGCUAGUUUUUUGUUGGUUUGUUUUGGCCAUGCCUGUGGCAUGCAGAAGUUCUCGGGCCAGGGAUCUAACCUGUGCCACAGCAAUGACCUAAGCUCCAGCAAUGACACCGCCAGAUCCUUAACCUGCUGAACUGCUAGGGAACUCCAAAAACUAGACUGAAAAAAUAACAUGCAUCCUAUUGAAAUGGCAUAGUAUCUUAGAACUCAUAUGUAAGAUGUGAGACGAAUAGAAUGCUAGAAUUAGCGUUUAUGUUGAGGUCAGCAUAAUGUGAUUUUUUGAACUCUCAUUUCUGUGUUUAUUCAUAGGAGAAGAUGUUAAAGAAGAGUAUAAGUGAUUAGUUGGAUCUAAUCUUUUAGAAACCAACAUAUAGUGGAGCUCAGUAUAGAAUAUGGUCCUGCCUUGAUUACUGAACUAGAUUUCUCUUCUGAAAUUCCUAAGCCUAUGCAGUUUAUGUUUUCUGGAGCCCAUUUGGAACUGUUUUGGACAUUCCUCAUCAGAUCUGGCUGCCAGAGAGUUUAACCAUUAGCUGAUGACUACCAGACUGUCACUGUACCACUUAAAGCAAACAAAACCUAUAAAACUGUUGCUGUCAGAUGUUUAUCUGCCUUUCAAUUCUAUCUAACCCCAUUAUAAGUGUUUCAUUAGGCUGAAGGCAGUAGCUCCACUUCAAAUUCUAUAACCCUCUGUAGUCCUAAAAAAACACACUGAUAGACCACUAAUUCUUUCUGCAACAUUAAAUGUUAAGAAGAGCGUAUGUAUAUAUAUUUCCCAUGCUUCUCUUGACUCACCUAUAAAAGCAGAUUAAAUUACUUCUCUUGACCAAAAACGUUGUGAAAAUAAAAUGCUAUUUUAUUUUUAUAGAGUAAAAAGCCCGUUUUCUUCCUCCCUCCCUCCCUUCCUUUCUCCCUUCCUUCCUUUGUUCCCUCCUUCCUUCUUCCAUCCUCUCUUCCUUCUUCCUUUCUUUCUUUCCUUUCUUUUUUUUCUUUCCUUCUUUUAUUCUUCUCACGUCUACUCUCUUUCAGAUUCUUUUCUCAGAAGGCCCCUGUUGACCAAUCAUUCUCUUUUUUAUUACUCAAUGAUCUGUAUUACAUUUAAGGCCAAUCAUUCUAUAUACCUCAGUGUGCAUAUGCCAUCCCAGACCCCCAGUCCAUCCCCUCCCCCCACCUGUCCCCUUUCCAGUUUUCUUUUUAUAGUUACAAAUGUAACAUGUUCCUCAUGGAAAUAUAAUGUAAUCUCCUUGAGGAAAAAGACAGUUUCUUUUAUUCCUCAACCCCAUGUAUUACCUUAUUUAAAAUACUUUGGACUUUUUGGCAACAUAGAUAAAAAUAGCAAACACCCAACAUCAUUGUGAACCUAAAGAUAAGACUGUGAAUGGAAUUCCGUAGUAUGUAAUCUUGAAACAGUUUGUUAACUUGAAGUUUAUUUGUUAAGAUUCUCCAUUACUUUUGUGUGUGUGUGUGUGUGUGUGUGUGUGUGUGUGUGUGUGUGUGUGUGUGUAGGUCAUUUUCUCAUUUUUACUUCUAUCAGUGCAUUGAGCCCUGACUUUCAUGUAUUUUGGGUGCAGUGUUCUAACCAUUUGUUUGAACCAUUUUGGCAUCAGACCUAUAAAGUAGUAUUUAUUCACCUCUUGGGGGAAAAUGGAUAUGUCAACUUAUUUCAUACCAUUGAUGUAAAAUUGAAUUUAGCACUUUAAACCCAAUUCCAAAUUUACUUUCAUAGAAGAAAAUUAAGUCAUUGUUUCUGAUAUAAAGCUUAAACUAGGUCCUGAAAAAGACAGAGAGAGCUAUUCCUUUCUCAUUUCUGACCAAAUGAACUUUGUCCCUUUUCUGACACUAGUCUCAGUUUUUCCUCUCCGAGGACCCGAUCUCCCCGUCACAGCCAUUUUUAACUAUCAUGCGGGAGGAACAGCAAAUGAGUUCAGAGGUUCUUUGCUGGCAAUUAGUGAUGUCGCUCCCCUUUCCUCACUUAUUUUGUGCCAGGCCUGUGCUAAGUGUGGAUGUGUUAUGUUAGGCAGAAGCAGACAGGGGCCCCACUCUUAUGACACUUCUAGUCAGGUGGGAAAAGAGCUAUUAAUCCAACAAUCAGACAUAUAAGUGUCAUGCACUGUAGUGCCAAGUAAGUACCAGGUUCAACGUAAACAUUACUGGAAAGUAUCACCCCACUAAGAGGGCAGCUGAGGCUUCUUAAAGAAGUGACGAUGGGAGGCCCUGUUGUGCCUCAGCUGGCUGAAAACCCAGCAUAGUGUCUGUGAGGAUUCUGGUUCAAUCCCUAGCCUCCUUCAGGGCGUUAAAGAUCCAAUGUUGCCGCGAGCUGUGGUGUAGGUCACAGAUGUGGCUCAGAUCCUGUGUUGCAGUGGCUGUGAUAUAGACCCCAGCUGCAGCUCGGAUUCGACCCCGGGAACUUCCAUAAUGCUGUAGUUAUGGAAGGAAAAGAAAAAAAAAAAAAAGCAGAGAUGGUGCCAAAAUCUAGAUACCAGGAUCCCUAACCGAAAAAUCAAACAGAAAGCAGAAAUCUAAGCAAUUGAGGCCAAACAUCCAUAUUUAUUUCUCCUCUAAGAAAUUUUGCUUUUAUUAUCAGGGUAAUUGAAACAAAAGAUUCCAUGGGGUAAUUAUUAGGAGUUCCCUUGUGGCAUAGCAGGUUAAGGAUCUGGUCUUGUCACUGCAGUGGCUUGGGUUGUUGCUGUGGCUCAGGUUUGAUCCCUGGCCCAGGAAUUUCCACAUGCCACAGGCACAACCAAAAAAAAAAAAAAAAA